rnacentral:rRNA from 1 species
AUUGAACGCUGGCGGAAUGCUUUACACAUGCAAGUCGAACGGUAGAGGGGGCAACCCCUCGAGAGUGGCGAACGGGUGAGUAAUAUAUCGGAACGUGCCCAGUCGUGGGGGAUAACGUAGCGAAAGUUACGCUAAUACCGCAUACGAUCUAAGGAUGAAAGCGGGGGAUCGCAAGACCUCGCGCGAUUGGAGCGGCCGAUAUCAGAUUAGGUAGUUGGUGGGGUAAAGGCUCACCAAGCCAACGAUCUGUAGCUGGUCUGAGAGGACGACCAGCCACACGGGAACUGAGACACGGUCCAGACUCCUACGGGAGGCAGCAGUGGGGAACUUUGGACAAUGGACGCAAGUCUGAUCCAGCCAUUCCGCGUGCAGGAUGAAGGCCCUCGGGUUGUAAACUGCUUUUGUACGGAACGAAAAGGUCUCUCUUAAUACGGGGGACUCAUGACGGUACCGUAAGAAUAAGCACCGGCUAACUACGUGCCAGCAGCCGCGGUAA